CCAGCAGCAGCCAAGGAAUCGAUAGCCUUUAAAUAAGUAAUUAGGGGAGCCGAAGACGUCGGCACAUCCAGGAGUGAGCAGGGGAGCAUAAAUUCAUGACUCCCAGGCUCACUGGGCAAGGGCCUGGUUCUGUUUCUCGGUCAAGAAAUGUGACAGCGCCUGGGGGCAAUGAUGGUGGAGGAACAGGGAGCCAGUGUUGUAGAGUCUGUUUUCACUUUCCUGUCCUCUGUUUCUGGUGGCUUUUAGGAUAAGGAUCAAAAUCUUCUCCCAACCUAGAGAGGUAAAUCUGGAGCUGAAGCUGGCUCCGGUACAAUGUCAGCUUGUUUAUUCACUGGUUGUGUGACCUGAGACACACACCCUCUCUGUGCUCAGUUUCCCUAGCUGUAAAACGCCCCACCCCCAACCCCCAGCCCCCAAAUAAGGUCAUCAUGAGGUUUACAGACGUUCGUACCACAUGCAAAGCAUGCAGAGCAGUGUGGGCCGUGGUUAGCAUCCAGGGGCCUUUGUGACUAAGUCCCAACCCGAGGCUACAGCCUCACGGGUGUUACGCUCCCCAAGAAAGGGGUGAAGGGCCAUCGCAGGUGCCCGGGAAGCAAUCAUCUGCCGUUUUUCCCGUCCUCCUGCACCACCAUCACCCCCCCACCACCACCAGCCCCGCAGAAGUCGCAGAAAACAGCCAACAAGGGUGGCCGUUGAGUCCCACGGGGAUCACAAGGUUAUAAGAACAAAGGCUGCCACUUCCUCUCUCCCUGCGGUGCUGCCUGUGUGUGGACACCAUCUGAUGAGAAUGUAAUUCCUUUUAUGAUCCAGGAAGGUAUAAAAACGCAUAUAAACAACCACAUGUCAUCACUGGAGUUGGCCAUCACAUUUUUAUUGGUCUACAGCGUGUGUUUUUGUUAGCCUGACGUCUGUUAGAAACCAGGUUCUGAAACACUGUCCUCGUUUGGGUGCUGGAGACAAAUAGUAUCCAGAAGCCAUUCCCAGGCCUGGUCUCAGGGAAACAGUCCCCAGAGCAGGAGGGUGUGUGUGUGUGUGUGUGUGCAUGUGCAUGCGCGUGCACGCUUACUCCUCCCUGGAGGUUCCCUGGUCCAGGCUCAGUGGAGGAAUCGGAGGCCCAGGGCAGGGCAGUGCUCUGUCCAGGAUCAUGGGACUGCUUGGUUUAGCACCAUUUUCUGAGCAUGUCAGGGAGCCCCAGCUGCUGCCGGAGCCAGCCCCCCAGUCUCGGGGGUGCCACGGAGCUGUCCUUCUAGCUUGUGUGGCAGAGAGCAUGGUGGAUGAUGGGUGGAUGGGCCUCCCUGCUUCGUGUGGCUCCACCCUCCCCUAAAGCCUCAGAAUCUUCUGCUUCCAGCUGAAUGGGGAAAGGAUCCGGAGGCUCGCAAGGUUUUAUGGAUUUUUAUGGAGAUGUUUGGGUAGGGCCUGGAAGUGGCUCAGCCACAUCUGUCCACAUCCCUCAGCGGAUCACUAGGUCAGGGUCGAUACCAAACUGCAAGGGAGGCUAGGAAAUGUAGCCCAGCUGGGUGCCUGCGAGGAAGACAAGGCAGACUGGUCUCAGUGCCCAGCCCCGAGCUGGAAGCUGCCUGGGCAGAGAUGCUGAGAUGGAGAUGCAGGCCCAUCAGUUUGAGGUUCCCAAUAAGGGCUGGUCUAGCACAUUAUCAAUCGCUAGAAGCCCAUGACUCCUCUCUAGAGAGACCUCACCCCAGGAUAAGCCUAAGCCUCCCGGGGUCCUUGCUACCUCGUGCCAAGUGGUGUCAGCCACCCUUGUUUCUAAAGGGUUGCAGAGAAGUGGGGAGGCUGGGUUCAUUUCCUGAAAGGCCCUAUUCUCUGCCUCAGGCCAGCAGAAUUUCCUUUCAGGGGGAGGCAGGGGCCUCUCUCCCCAGGGUUACCUGUCGCCUCACACCCCCACAGGGCUGGGCUCUCAACAAAACAGCCUGGAGGGAGGACCAGCACCUCAGUUCACACACACACACACACACACACACACACACACACUCACGCAUACACACAAAUGCGCCCAUGCACACACACAUCUCAGAACCAGCUAUAGCCGACAUCUGCCGCUUUGGUUAACGAGUAUCUGUUUGGGGGAUCCCAAGGUCUGUUUGGAGGACCCCCCUCCCACCACAGACACAGACUGCAGCACGUAUUCUGCACCCCCACCAACUAGAAUGUGGACAUGGGGCCUAAAGUGUGGCCAACUGGACACGCCCUCCUGGGACUUCCACUCCAUAGGGUGACACAGAGGCCUGGCAUCCAUCAGACCUUUAAAGGGCGCUGCAGCUGAAGGGCACCUCUCCAGCUGCCAGCAGGGGCCAUGGUGACCAGCUGGCAGGUGGCGGGCUCUGGCGUGGCACCUUGGCUGGGCCUUCACGCUCGGGUUCCCGUCAAGCCUGUUUCUCCAGUCCCCUGUCAACUGCCUGCGCCACCUGAAGCUCUCCCAGACGCCUCUUUCAGGUGAGCCCCGCCUCCUGCAGCCUUGGCCUUGCACCUGCUCACCCACCCCCUCCCGCCAAGGAUUUCCUUGGCUGCCGGCUUCAGCCGGGCUGUCCCAGACCCCAGGCAAGUCUGACAGCUUCCGCCCUCCAGGGAAAGGCCAGGGUUCCCACCUCUUUCCUCCAGGGGAUUCUGCAGCAAAUUUCAAAUUAAGUUGCGUUUUCACACUCCUGCAGAGUUCAGCGUUCUCAGGAGGGCUGUGGUAGAACCAAGGUAAUUGGCAUUCUUAGUAAUCCCAUGUGCACCUCAAAGCAUUCUUCUGAAAAGAAGCCCACCCUCCACUUGAUGCCCAAGGGGUCCAGGACAGCAGGACCCCUCUGGAUUGUAGCCCCCAGGCUGUUGGUGCCAGGAUUCCUUACUCAACAACAUGGGCCCUUUGCCUGAUGACAGCCCCCCUGGCUUGACCCAUCCUCCCUUCACUGUUUCUUCCGGAAAAAGAUCCCUACUUUCUUUGGGGGGCCAGCUCCUCUCUCCACCCUACAGAAGUAGGUGGGCCCUGUAGGAGUUUUCACAUUGUCACAUGCCCUCACUCUCUCAGUUCAGCCAAUUCAGGAGGAGUGGGCUCCUGACCCAAACCUGGCCAAUCAGCUCCUUCUCUGUGGUGGUGGUGGUUGUUGUUUUAAACUGGAACUAGGAGUUCCCAUUGCGGCUCAGAGGAUUAAGAACUCGACAUAGUGUCUAUGAGGACACAGGUGUGAUCCCUGGCCUCACUCAGUGGGUUAAGGAUCCAGUGUUGCUGUGAGCUGCGCUGUAGGCCACAGCUGUGGCUCGGAGCUGGCAUUCCUGAGGCUGUGGCAUAGGCUGGCAGUUGUAGCUCCAAUUUGAUCCCUGGCCCAGGCACUUCCAUAUGCCACAGGUGUGGCCGUAAAAAGAAAAAAGAAAAAGAAAAA
rnacentral:lncRNA from 1 species